UACACGUGUUCAGAGGUUUUCUUAAACUUGCACACUGUCUACCAAAAUUAUUUUGAAAACUUUAAAUAAAUGACUUCUUAAAAACCCUGAAUAUUUGUAAUGCAUCAGAAGAUGCUGAAAUUAACCAGUUCGCUUUUCAAAAAUGGAAGGGCUCUUUCAACUGGCGUUACAGCUGCUACGAGAGGACGAAAAGAAGUAGGGAGGUCAGAAGGAUGUGCAUGGUAGAGAAGGAACACCGAGGGUGGGAGAUUCAUUUCACUUUGCUUCAGAAAAUCAUAACAAUGAAAGCUGAGUAAGCCAUCCGACAUUCUCUUUGUUGUUGACAUUGAGAAAAACGUGCAUGAAUUGCACCUAUGAAGUAUCUAUUCCAGGCAUCUACUUUAGAAUGAGAUAACUGGGCCCAGAGGUGCUGAUUUCUUUCCUCAGACCAUAAGAGGAGCUUAAUGACUAGUUUGGAUGAGGACAUAUGUAUCUGUCUAGAUUUUUCACAGCUCAAGAACCUAGGAGAAAAGGGGAAGAAAAGUCAGUGGAUGCCUACGUGAACAGGACUUUGCUGAUACGCGGGUAUAUUCAAGUUACAUCUGUCUUUGAAGUAUAUGCCCCUAGUUUAGACUUAUCGAAUAAACUGAAGGAGAAAAAGGUACCUACGCAGCAAAUGGGAGGAAAAAGAAAACACACAGCACUUAUGGUUGAUUCAUACUGAGGAGUUCCAGAUGAAACAGAGAACAGAAUUUAGAUGUAGAGCUUAGUGAUAAGGUUUAGUGGAGGACUUGUUAGUGUUAGGUCAGAGGUUGGACUCGGUGAUCUUGGAGGUCUCUUCCAACCUAGAUGAUUCUGUGAAAACUUAUUUUACAAACUGCUGCUCCUAUUCCUGUUCCCACAGAAACUGACAGUCCAAUAAAGAGCUUUAGACUUCAUUAAAAUAGUCCUGUAAAUACUGUUUGUAAUUAUAAAGAAAGAUCUCUGUGCUCUUCAGUGCUGUAACAUGCCUAAAUAUCAAAGCCUUUUCACGAGCAAACUGUGUUGGCAUUUGGUCUGGCUUUUUAGAAUGAAACCAGGGCUUUCAGCGAAUAAGCCGAUAAUAGACAUUUGAGAGUCAGCAGAAGUAAAAGCACUGCCUCUGCUUCUUGCAAAAUCCUAACAGUGCAGUCCUAAAAACAAAGUUGAACCUUCCCCAAAACGCUGAGAAAUACAAACACUGAGAAAUUACAGAUACACACAGAUAAGAAGCUACGCAC